GUUAGGCGCUAAUCGGCCGAGGGUCGAAGGGCACCAGCGUCCAAUCUGAUUCAUCCUCCAAUUUAUGUGCCGUCAUAUUCAUUAACCGGAAGGUAGACACAGAGCACAUGUACAGCUUGUUCUUCUUACCUAACGUGUCCUGUAUCUGAUGUUUCUUCAUUUUUCAAAAUACGUUGGAACAUUCGAGGUACCUGGUACGUUUUAAAUAAAGUUACGUUAUAGACAAAGGCUGUAAGAAAAUGACAAAAUAUUUUCGAUCGAAGAACAACGGAGAUGAUUUAAAGUAGACGACGAAGUUUAGUUUCCUUUCAACUUAAAUGUAGAUAGAACAUUUGAUUUCCAUCGUCGAAGAAAGGAAGAGGCGAUCUCCGAACGACUAUAGGCUAUGACGUUCGUGCAUUUAUGGCAGGGUCAAAGGUGCAAAAAUGUAUAUAAAAUGUCCGAAGUUUAUGAUAUUUGGCGGGUGUUUUGUUUAGAUUCUAUUUCUUUAGUUGUCUUAAAUAUGAAUCUACGUGUAUUUGUGUAUUUGUAUCUGGUAAUGCGAUUACGAGUGUAUAAAUACUUGCUGCUGUAUUUAACCGGAAAAUUAGGAUUUACGUGUAAGUUGAAUUUAAUUAAUUAAAAGCAAAAGAAAAAUUUAUGUGUGUAUUAGCAGUAGUAAUAGUCUAUAAAUAUAGAGCUUAGUGAAGCUUAUGGGAUCUUGAGAUUGCAAUGUUUUUGAAUGAAAAGUUUAGAUCGGUGUGUCGGUAGCUUUUAAUAGACAUGAAAGUUUAUGAGGUUCGGACGAAACGUGCUUCGUGAAAGGAAGAUUCAACAAAGUGGAUUUUGAUGUUUACGAUACGUAGUAAAUGAAUGUUUAUCAAUUAAUGAAUGUUUCGUUUAGGAUUGCGUUAUUUUCGAAUUCAAGUUAGGAAGAUACGCAUCCGGUUAAUAAGAAGGGAUAAACCCAAAGAGAAACCUGGAAUAAAUUUCUUAAAUACGAGAUGAUCUCUCGACAAAAGAAAUCUUCCAAUAAACACGUUAUAGUGAAAAUUUAAUCGCUAGAUACGUGUAACUGAAAUUAAGUUGAAUUUUGCGUGCCUUGCGAAAUAUAUUUCGUGCGUUCUCCUCCGACUGAAUCGACAAUAUCUCGGAACUAUCCGUAACAAAUUUAAAAAAUUUGUACAAAAAUUUCCACGCAGAAUUUACGGUACAACGAUAAAACUGUAAAAAAGUGUCGGAUCGAAAUAAAUAAAAAGAUCGAUCUGCUUAAAAUCUACGAAAAGUAAAAUACUAAAACAACGAAAAGCAUAAAAGCAAAAGCGUAACAGCCAUAGAAGUAGCAUAAUAGAAAUUUAAAUGUUAUCCCUCUAAAACGAACGUAUUAGCCCAACCGAUUAUCGUUCUAAUUUCACCAAUUGACGUUCGAUUUCUCUGAUUUCGUAAUUUCGAACUUUCAUAAAUUCGGAACUUUUCUCUUGAAAUAUUAAAUUUUUAAGGCCGCUGAUCUCUAAAAUGUUCACGACAAGCGCAUUAUUUCGCGGCUGUCGUUCAUACUCGUAAACGAAUAAUAUAUGACUUGAUAUGGCCGCAGCGUGCCAACAAUAAUAAUCCGAAUUACAGUUGGGACGCGACGCCAUUUUCGAUGCUAAACGAUCCGUAUAUUAUGGUUGCGUGCAACGCCGGGUGUAAAUGGCUCAAUCAGCCAUUUACGGCCGAUGAAAUGCAUAUAGAAUCGAAUUAUUGGACGAUUAGGCUGCUUUCUAUAAUUGGGAGUGCACGGGGCGACCACGUAGCUCGAGCCACCACCGAUCCCCUCCACCUUUUUGCAAGAGCCACCGUCGAACCGUGCGACCGAUUCGCAGAUUCGCAUUGCCGUGUUUCAACCCCGAAACGGCACGUCUUUAUCGCAAACGAACUUCCACACGGAAUCCCCUUGUACGCAUACAGACGGUGAUUCGAUCGAUCGACCAACAAGUUUCCAAGUUUCGUGACCGUGCAAGAAGAUGACAAUGUUCGGUGGAAUGUUCGAAGAUACUGCGAUGCGAAAGACACAAACAGGACAAGCACUCAAUGUAUGGACUACGCUAAAGGAGAAAGCCAGCAUUAAAGGGGAGCGUGUUCCUGGAUGAGGGCGCGUCUAUCCUUAACAAAUUGGCGACGAAGCUUACGAUAACGUAAAGAAGUCCGUUUGGAUACCCCGGUAAUUUUGAUAGAAGCAAUGAGUUACUCCUUCGCGUAAUUCAAUCCAUGCAUGGUAGAUGACGAUACGUAUAUUACUGUCCCUUCCAAAAUGUUAUUUAUGUUGAAUACGAGUGUUGAGAUUUGAAUAAAUAUAUUUUUCUAGAAA